AUUGAACGCUGGCGGCAGGCCUAACACGUGCAAGUCGAGCGGGAACUUCGGUUCUAGCGGCGGACGGGUGAGUAAUGCGUAGGAAGCUACCCGAUAGAGGGGGAUACCAGUUGGAAACGACUGUUAAUACCGCAUAAUGUCUACGGACCAAAGUGUGGGACCUUCGGGCCACAUGCUAUCGGAUGCGCCUACGUGGGAUUAGCUAGUUGGUGAGGUAAUGGCUCACCAAGGCGACGAUCCCUAGCUGGUUUGAGAGGAUGAUCAGCCACACUGGAACUGAGACACGGUCCAGACUCCUACGGGAGGCAGCAGUGGGGAAUAUUGGACAAUGGGCGAAAGCCUGAUCCAGCCAUGCCGCAUGUGUGAAGAAGGCCUUCGGGUUGUAAAGCACUUUCAGCGAGGAGGAAGGGGUUGUAGUUAAUAGCUGCAACCUUUGACGUUACUCGCAGAAGAAGCACCGGCUAACUCUGUGCCAGCCGCCGCAGUAACAC
rnacentral:rRNA from 1 species